rnacentral:rRNA from 1 species
AUUGAACGCUGGCGGCAGGCCUAACACAUGCAAGUCGAGCGGGGUUUUCGGACCUAGCGGCGGACGGGUGAGUAAUGCGUAGGAAGCUGCCCGAUAGAGGGGGAUACCAGUUGGAAACGACUGUUAAUACCGCAUAAUGUCUACGGACCAAAGUGUGGGACCUUCGGGCCACAUGCUAUCGGAUGCGCCUACGUGGGAUUAGCUAGUUGGUGAGGUAAUGGCUCACCAAGGCGACGAUCUCUUGCUGGUUUGAGAGGAUGAUCAGCCACACUGGAACUGAGACACGGUCCAGACUCCUACGGGAGGCAGCAGUGGGGAAUAUUGGACAAUGGGCGCAAGCCUGAUCCAGCCAUGCCGCGUGUGUGAAGACGGCCUUCGGGUUGUAAAGCACUUUCAGCGAGGAGGAAGGGUGGUGUGUUAAUAGCACAUCAUUUUGACGUUACUCGCAGAAGAAGCACCGGCUAACUCUGUGCCAGCCGCCGCGGUAACAC